rnacentral:rRNA from 1 species
GUCGCCAAGGACUUGUGGGAGGCGCUCGAAUCUAAAUUCGGGGCCGCCGAUGCAGGGAGCGAGAUGUAUAUUAUAGAGCAGUUCCACGAUUACAAGAUGGUUGAAAACCGUCCUGUAUUGGAGCAGGCUCAUGAGAUAAUAUGCAUUGUUAAGGAACUUGAGCUUCUCAAGUGCGAGUUACCGGGCAAGUUUGUCGCGGGCUGCAUAAUCGCUAAUCUCCCUAAUUCCUGGAGGAACUUUGCCACCACUCUGAAACAUCAGAGGCGUGAAUUCUCUGUGGAGGAUGUCAUUGGCCAUCUGAGUGUUGAGCAGAAUUCGAGGGCAAAAGACUCGCACGGAAAAGGGGCCGAAGGGACUUCUGUUGCCAACAUGGUGAACCAGAAGAACUUCAACUCCCACAAGCCCAAGGGAAAGAACGGUGUCCAACACAAUACCGACUUUAAGAAGAAGGGUAAGAAGACCUUCAAGAAGAACAAGAAGGACGAGGGCUGCUUUACUUGUGGUUCGGUUGAACAUUGGGCCAACAAGUGCCCAAACAAGUACAAGAAGUCAGGACAGGACUCCAAGUCUGUCAACAUGAUUGUGGGCAACAAUGAGAAUGGUGCAUCUGGGUACGGUAAUUUAUUUACUGUUUUUUCAGUGUUUCAACCCAACGAUUGGUGGGUGGACACAGGUGCAGGUGUUCAUGUGUGUGCUGACAUUUCAUUGUUCACUUCUUACCAGGUCAUAGGUCAC